rnacentral:rRNA from 1 species
AUGAACGCUGGCGGCGUGCCUAAUACCUGCAAGUCGCGCGAACAGACGAGGAGCUUGCUCCUCUGACGUUAGCGGCGGACGGGUGAGUAACACGUGGAUAACCUACCUAUAAGACUGGGAUAACUUCGGGAAACCGGAGCUAAUACCGGAUAAUAUAUUGAACCGCAUGGUUCAAUAGUGAAAGACGGUUUUGCUGUCACUUAUAGAUGGAUCCGCGCCGCAUUAGCUAGUUGGUAAGGUAACGGCUUACCAAGACGACGAUGCGUAGCCGACCUGAGAGGGUGAUCGGCCACACUGGAACUGAGACACGGUCCAGACUCCUACGGGAGGCAGCAGUAGGGAAUCUUCCGCAAUGGGCGAAAGCCUGACGGAGCAACGCCGCGUGAGUGAUGAAGGUCUUCGGAUCGUAAAACUCUGUUAUUAGGGAAGAACAAAUGUGUAAGUAACUAUGCACGUCUUGACGGUACCUAAUCAGAAAGCCACGGCUAACUACGUG